GGAAUGCUGAAGGCAGCGUCCUACCUUCUCCUGAGCUCCACGCUUUCUUAACUGUGCUCCCUGCUAAUCAAUUCACCAGCAUGAAGCUCUUGGCGUUGCUGGUACUGGUGGCCGUUUCCACCUUCCUGGUUUCAGGCCAGACAACCGAUGAUACAUCUGAGGGUGCUACUGGUCCUGUUGAGGAAUCCACAACCGAUGAUGCUGACACCAGUGCAGCUCCUGACACCACAAAUGCUGCUCAAACCACUACUUGGAGCCUUAAGGAUUUGCUUGGGAAAAUUUUUAAGACGUGAUUGUGAGAUGGAAGUCUCCUGGAUGUCCUGCAUGUGAUCCUGCUGGGCUCGGCCAGAAUGUCCUUUCAUUUGAUUUACUCCAACCACGUACCAUGCCUAUCAUGUCUCUCCUAUCUCUAAUCAGUUUGUUUGUUUUCAAAUACAAUUAACAUUGAGCAACAU